CAGCCUGCAGCUCCUCUGGUGCAGCAGACAGUGAUGGCUCUGUGUCAGGGUGCAGGUCGCCCCCUCGCGGUGAAGAGAGGCCAAACCCAGCGGCGCAGGUAAAUUGAGAAACCGGAGGAGAGCCGAGGCUUCCCUCUGGGAUUCUGCACCGUCAGCACCAUUACUCCAAGUCAAGCUCUGCAAGAGAAGGAAGACUGUGUGAAUUGUCUGGAGAGGAUAGCCCUCACUUUGUCAUGUGAAGUUUAGGAGCUCUGCGUGCGUGGGCAAGAACAAAAUCGGACUUACUCUGCCCAGGGCGGAAAAACAAAAGAGAUGGAAGAAGAGCAAAGUCCAGGUGUUCCACGCUGCGCAAAUCCGAAAGGAAGUCAUGUCUGCGGAUCACCCACAGCUCCAAAGCCACUGGACCCUGUGCCACACGCUCACUUUCCACAUAAACCAGUCCACCAGCAGCAGCAGGAGCAGAAGGAGCCGAAGGAGCAGGAGCAGCAGGGGCAGCAGGAGCAGCACUUCUGCAGGAGUUGUAAUGAAUGAAGCAUCAACGGCUUUCAGACGCACGCUUCUCAAGUUGUUUGGUCUCCAUUCAUUUCCAUGCGUAAAAUCCCUGAGCAGCAAACUGCAUGAACUCAACUCCUCUCUCCCGAAAAGUCAUCUUUCUUAAUUCCACUAACGUCUCUCUCUCUCUCUCUCUCUCGCUCUCUCUCUCUCUCUCUCUCUCUCUCUCUCUCUCUCUCUCUCUCUCUCACCCCCUCUCUCUCUCCUUGUCUCACACGCGCUCCCUCUCUCGCUCUACCCGGUGACCCCCGCGGACCAUUUUGACUCCCAGUGAAAUCAUGUGAUUGUCUUAAAUAGCAGACUCUGUCUCUCUCUCUAUGAAAGUCGCAACUGAGUCCGAGUCGGUUUCCACCGGGAGCACUGACUGAACACAAGGCUGCUGGGGUGUCUCUCUCUCUCUCUCUCUCUCUCUCUCUCUCUCUCUCUCUCUCUCUCUCUCUCUCUCUCUCAGAGUAUGUGUGUGCGUUUGUGUCUCUCCUUAGCCAAUCAAAUUUGACACCUGUGAGACCUGUGAGACAGGUGACAAAUUGCAUCUCCUAUAACCUGCACCGCAAUAACAAACUAUUUGUUAUGUUGGUUCCACAUCAGCUCAUUUGAUGCAUUUCUUACCAUGUGCACAGGAAUACGAAUGUGUGUAUUUUUGUGAAUUUCAGUAGCCUAGGCUCCGUAACCCAAACUCGAUCUGCAGAUUACACCCUGCAGCAGGUUAUCAGUAAUUUAUGAUGGAUUACAGUCUGAAAUUUACCCCCUGACCCCUGUUUAAUCCGCUCGUCAUUCUCCCAUCUCCCCCUGUAUUCCGCAGCUGCACUGAUAGGCAGCGGGCCAACAUCUCCGAACUCCCCACAAUCAUUCAUGGAAGUGGUUAUACACGAGUGUGGGAGCCAAAAGAACUGGGAGCGCUUGUUUCAUAUUCUGGAGCAUUUCAUCCUCCCCAAAAGAAAACCAGAUGAAGUUUUCUGCUGUGUGGCAGGAGAAAUAAAUGUGUGACGGUU